CUCCCGGCACGGGGAGGUAGUGACGAAAAAUAACGAUACGGGACUCAUCCGAGGCCCCGUAAUCGGAAUGAGUACACUUUAAAUCCUUUAACAAUUAGCAAUUCGAGGGCAAGUCUGGUGCCAGCAGCCGCGGUAACUCCAGCUCGAAUAGCGUAUAUUAAAGUUGUUGCGGUUAAAAAGCUCGUAGUUGAAUUUGUGUUCCGCGCUGUCGGUUCACCGCCCGCGGUGUUAACUGGCACGUUCGCGGAACGUCCUGCCGGUGGAUGCGUAGACCUUGUAUGCUUCCCCAUUGUGCGUGUGCAGCUUGCUGUUACUGUAUGAUGUGGUGGGGUUGCAGGCGCUUUACCAUCCGACUUAAUAAUCCUGUCGCGGUGCUCUUAAUUGAGUGUCGAGGCGGGCCGGCACGUUUACUUUGAACAAAUUAGAGUGCUCAAAGCAGGCUAAAAUUUCGCCUGAAUAUUGUGUGCAUGGAAUAAUGGAACAGGACCUCGGUUCUAUUUUGUUGGUUUUCGGAACCCCGAGGUAAUGAUUAAUAGGGACAGAUGGGGGCAUUCGUAUUGCGACGUUAGAGGUGAAAUUCUUGGAUCGUCGCAAGACGGACAGAAGCGAAAGCAUUUGCCAAAAAUGUUUUCAUUAAUCAAGAACGAAAGUCAGAGGUUCGAAGGCGAUCAGAUACCGCCCUAGUUCUGACCAUAAACGAUGCCAGUUAGCGAUCCGCCGACGUUCCUCCGAUGACUCGGCGGGCAGCUUCCGGGAAACCAAAACUUUUGGGUUCCGGGGGAAGUAUGGUUGCAAAGCUGAAACUUAAAGGAAUUGACGGAAGGGCACCACCAGGAGUGGAGCCUGCGGCUUAAUUUGACUCAACACGGGAAAACUCACCAGGCCCGGACACCGGAAGGAUUGACAGAUUGAGAGCUCUUUCUUGAUUCGGUGGGUGGUGGUGCAUGGCCGU
rnacentral:rRNA from 1 species